UACGUAGGGUGCGAGCGUUUAAUCGGAAUUACUGGGCGUAAAGCGUGCGCAGGCGGUUUGUUAAGUCCGCUGUGAAAGCCCCGGGCUCAACCUGGGAAUGGCGGUGGAAACUGGCGAGCUAGAGUGUGUCAGAGGGGGGGUGGAAUUCCACGUGUAGCAGUGAAAUGCGUAGAGAUGUGGAGGAACACCAAUGGCGAAGGCGGCUCACUGGCCCGGUACUGACGCUGAGGCGCGAAAGCGUGGGGAGCAAACAGG
rnacentral:rRNA from 1 species